rnacentral:tRNA from 1 species
GAGGGUAUAGCUCAGUGGUUGAGCGCAUGCUUAGCAUGCAGGAGGUCCUGGGUUCAAUCCCCAGGAUCUCCA